rnacentral:tRNA from 1 species
ACCUGGCUGGCUCAGUUGGUAGAACAUGAGACUCUUACUCUCACAGUCUUGAGUUCAAGACCCAUGUUGGGUG